GGUAAACGCUGGCGGCGUGCCUUAUGCAUGCAAGUCGAACGGUCUCGAUUUAUCGAGAUAGUGGCGGACGGGUGAGUAGCGCGUAAGUAACCUGCCCCUAAGUAGGGGAUAACUCCGAGAAAUUGGAGCUAAUACUGUAUGUGGUGAUGGGGGUAAGGCUCCAUCACUAAAGCCUUAGGGCGCUUAGGGAGGGGCUUGCGUCCGAUUAGCUAGUUGGUUAGGGUAAUGGUCUACCAAGGCGAUGAUCGGUAGCUGGUUUGAGAGGACGGUCAGCCACACUGGGACUGAGACACGGCCCAGACUCCUACGGGAGGCAGCAGCAAGGAAUUUUGUGCAAUGGGCGAAAGCCUGACACGGGCGACGCCGCGUGGGGGAUGAAGGCCUUCGGGUUGUAAACCCCUUUUCCCAGGGAAGAAUAAUGACGGUACCUGGGGAAUAAGCCUCGGCUAACUACGUGCCAGCAGCCGCGGUAAUACGUAGGAGGCAAGCGUUAUCCGGAUUUACUGGGCGUAAAGCGGGCGCAGGCGGCCUUUCAAGUCGGAUGUAAAAUCUCCCGGCUUAACUGGGAGGGAUCAUUCGAUACUGUUGGGCUAGAGGACAGCAGGGGGAGGUGGAAUUCCCGGUGGAGUGGUGAAAUGCGUAGAUAUCGGGAGGAACACCAGUGGCGAAGGCGGCCUCCUGGGCUGUUUCUGACGCUGAGGUCCGAAAGCGUGGGGAGCGAACAGGAUUAGAUACCCUGGUAGUCCACGCUGUAAACUAUGGACACUAGGUAUGGGGAGUAUCGACCCUCUCCGUGCCGAAGCUAACGCUCUAAGUGUCCCGCCUGGGGACUACGACCGCAAGGUUAAAACUCAAAGGAAUUGACGGGGGCCC
rnacentral:rRNA from 1 species